rnacentral:rRNA from 1 species
AGGGUUCGAUCAUGGCUCAGAUUGAACGCUGGCGGUAGGCUUAACACAUGCAAGUCGUGCGAGAAAGUAUCUUCGGAUAUGAGUAGAGCGGCGGACGGGUGAGUAACGCGUAGGAAUCUACCUAGUAGAAGGGGAUAGCCCGAGGAAACUCGGAUUAAUACCGUAUACCUCCUUAGGGAGAAAGAGGGCCUCUCUUGAUGCUCUCGCUAUUAGAUGAGCCUGCGUAAGAUUAGCUUGUUGGUGAGGUAAUGGCUCACCAAGGCUACGAUCUUUAGCUGGUCUGAGAGGACGAUCAGCCACAUUGGGACUGAGACACGGCCCAGACUCCUACGGGAGGCAGCAGUGGGGAAUAUUGGACAAUGGGCGCAAGCCUGAUCCAGCCAUACCGCGUGUGUGAAGAAGGCCUUCGGGUUGUAAAGCACUUUAAGCAGGGAGAAAAAGCUAUAAGUUAAUACCUUAUAGCCCUGAUGUUACCUGCAGAAUAAGCACCGGCUAAUUCCGUGCCAGCCGCCGCGGUAAUAC